UACGUAGGUGGCGAGCGUUGUCCGGAUUUAUUGGGUUUAGAGGGUGCGUAGGCGGCCCUAUAAGUCAGUGGUGAAAUAUCGCAGCUUAACUGUGAGGGUGCCAUUGAUACUGUAGGGCUUGAGUGAAUUUGAGGUAGGCGGAAUUGACGGUGUAGCGGUGAAAUGCUUAGAUAUCGUCAAGAACACCGAUAGUGAAGACAGCUUACCAAGCUUCAACUGACGCUGAGGCACGAAAGUGUGGGGAUCAAACAGG
rnacentral:rRNA from 1 species